rnacentral:tRNA from 1 species
GCGACCGUAGUCUAAUGGCAUGAUGCAACCUUGCCAAAAACUAGGGCUAAAGUUCUGGCUUUCAAGAAGUUUUGCAAAAAGGUUGUGGCCCGGGUUCAAUUCCCGGCGGUCGCA